rnacentral:misc_RNA from 1 species
AUAUAUCAAUCUCUUCAGCUUUGCUUGUUGAGUAUUGGAUGUGGGGGUCUUUUUGCUGGUCUUUUAAAAGAGAUCAGCUCCCCUAAAAUGUAUUAGCGGAACAAUUUGUUGACCGUUCAUUGGUGUGAUAAUUAUCUACGCUAUUGACGUGAGGCAGUUCAGCUUCUAACAGUCCAUUGACUUGGACAGUUUUUUCAUUA